AACGAACGCUGGCGGCAGGCUUAACACAUGCAAGUCGAACGCAUCCUUCGGGGUGAGUGGCAGACGGGUGAGUAACGCGUGGGAACGUGCCCUUCAGUUCGGGAUAACCCAGGGAAACCUGGGCUAAUACCGGAUACGUGCGAGAGCAGAAAGAUUUAUCGCUGAAGGAUCGGCCCGCGUCUGAUUAGCUGGUUGGUGGGGUAAUGGCCCACCAAGGCGACGAUCAGUAGCUGGUCUGAGAGGAUGAUCAGCCACAUUGGGACUGAGACACGGCCCAAACUCCUACGGGAGGCAGUAGUGGGGAAUAUUGGACAAUGGGCGCAAGCCUGAUCCAGUCAUGCCGCGUGAGUGAUGAAGGCCUUAGGGUUGUAAAGCUCUUUCGUCCGGGACGAUAAUGACGGUACCGGAAGAAGAAGCCCCGGCUAACUUCGUGCCAGCCGCCGCGGUAAGAC
rnacentral:rRNA from 1 species